GCCGUUGCUGUUGUCCUGGCAGCACACAGCGUUGGACGAGCAGGCACUGCUGCCUCCAACACCGAUAACGGUGAUUGGGGAGCAGGUCAAGCCAACAAGGACGCUCAGGUCCGAGAGGACGAUACCAAGCAGACCGAGGAUCGCAGUCGCGCUCGGGUCACUGGCCUUCGUCACGGUGUUGCAGCAUUGGACGGGGCCGGUGCUGCAAGACGAGGAGGGCUCGCCGCCCCGGACCUCCAGGGGGGUGGCGGCCGCAAGAAGGGGCAGAGCAGCGAGAGCGAGGGUGGCGACGCGGGAGAACAUGGUAAGGAGAGUGCGGACCGGGAAUGCGAGAGGGCUGACUG
rnacentral:misc_RNA from 1 species